GGCCUGAUGGUCUAGUAGUAUGAUUCGCCCUUCGGGUUUUCAAGAACCCCUUGGAUUUCUAAGUGAUUGGGCGAGGUCCCGGGUUCAAUUCCCGGUCAGGCCC